UCCUCCGGUUCUCCUUUCAAUUUGUUGAGCGCCUCUCUCUUUCUCUCUCAGAAAACCCUGUUCUUUCUCUUCAUUCAUAUCCUUUUGCUUUCGCCUUCUCCUUCGCUGCGGAGUUCUGUGUUUCUCAGAAGCAGUGAAGGAUUGCCAAACAUGAACCACAAAGCCACCGUCUCUAAGGAGCUCAAUGACAAGUUCACCAAGAUCUUAGAGGGCCUCCUUAAGCUGCCUGAAAACAAGAAAUGUGCUGACUGCCGAAACAAGGCACCACGAUGGGCAAGUGUGAAUCUGGGAAUUUUCAUAUGCAUGCAAUGUUCAGGAAUUCACCGAAGUCUUGGAGUGCAUAUAUCAAAGGUACGGUCUACAACUUUGGAUACAUGGUUGCCAGAGCAAGUCUCUUUCAUGCAAUUCAUGGGUAAUGAGAAGUCGAAUGAGUAUUGGGAGGCAGAACUGCCACCAAAUUUUGAUAGAAUCGGCUUUGGACUGGAGAAGUUUAUUCGUUCCAAGUAUGUGGAGAAAAGGUGGGCUAAAAUUGAUGGAGUAAAUCCAGCUUCAAAAGCAGGUGAAAUAGUGUGUAACCUGGAUCUGAAUGUGCCUCCAGCUGGUCCCAAGGGUGGCUUUUCAAGGGCCACUAGGAGACUUUCUCUUGAGGAAAGCAUUCUUACAAGACACAUGGAACAGAUCCUGCCUCCACUGACAAGACAUCGUGGGGGUUCUCUUGACAUUCCAAAAAGCACCACCCCUCCGGUAAGGAGGCAGUGCCCAUCAGUUGAUUUUGAUAAGUCCCCUGUAAACAGUGGCAAUGCUGACUUUUUCAGCAUGUUUGGCGUCCAUGGCGAUAAGAAGGACUCUGCAACCGUACCUCCUCCUAGCUGGACAACAUUUGACUGAGUUGUGUCAACACUGCAAGCUUACAGACUGUUCAGCUUAGCCCUUGGUGUAGAUGUCGCCAUAUUAUAGUUGCAGAGGGCAUUGGGUGAAUAACAGUGUUUGAUGACUGGAUUUGGAUGAACAUGCCCAAGGGCAAGUGAGACGUCAGAAUAUAAAAUAGGAAACAUCAAACACACAUUUCUAUAUUAUU